AAUGCGCGGAUAAGAGUUAAGCAAGCAAUUUAUCUAAGUAAGUAAGUGAGCAAGUUAGACAAUGACAAAAAGCAUCACAAACACAACAAACAUAUAGUGGUUCAGUGCACCCCAGCACCUACAUCCACUCCCCAAGACCUCUUGGGAAUUUCACUAUAAUCCUCCAGAUUACAGUCCGGUAGUUUUGCGAGUGCACUACCCAACUCGUUGUUUUACACCGGGCUAACAACGAACCCUACAAUCCGGUAGUUUUUCGAGUGAACUACCCAACUCGUUGUUUUACCCCGGGCUAACAACGAACCCUAAAACUCCCAAUUUCACCUAGGCUUGGGACGCCUUUCCCUUGUUCCAAGUCCCUUGACUGGAACAAGCACAAUAAAGAAAGAGUUUUACAAAAGAUUGGAAAGCUCUAAAUAAGCGAAUAUAACAAUGAUAAACUUUAAAACCCGGAAGAAUCCUUUUGCCGUUGGAAGCGUGGGAGAUGUUGAUUCUUCCGAUGUGGAGCGCGUAGGGUUGAGUGUGAGCUUUGAAUCCCGAGCGCACGAGAGUGGUUGAGCUUGAAAUCACUUGGAAAGCUUGAAAACACUUGAUUUCUUCACUUGAAUGCACUCACUCCCUUGAACUUUUCUUUCUUACUUCUCUCUUGAAUGAUCUAGCUUUGGGUUGGUAAGAAGAUGUUGAGAAGCACUUAAGAGGUCCCUUUUAUAGCCCAAAAAGCAAAUAUAGCCGUUAGACACAAAAAAAGAGACGUUUGAAAUUCAAAUCAAACCUGAAAAAGUUGUUAGUCGCGUCCCAGGCGCUCCGGGGACGUCUCCGCGCUUUACGGG
rnacentral:lncRNA from 1 species